AUGGCGCUCGAGGGGCUCAAGUUCUACUGCCCCUUCAACGACUGCUCGACGCUGCUGGUCGACAACCACCAGGACGGGGACGCGGUGAUAAGGGACGUGGAGUGCCCCCACUGCUCCCGCAUGUUCUGCGCCCAGUUCAAGGUGCCGUGGCACGACGGCGUCGACUGCACCGAGUUCCAGCGGCUCGGCAAGGACGAGCGUGGGCGGGAGGACCUGCUGCUGAGGAAGGUCGCGCAGGAGAGCAAGUGGCGGAGAUGCGCCAAGUGCAAGAUGUACGUCGAGAGGGUGGAAGGCUGUGUGUACAUUGUCUGCAGGUGCGGCCACCACUUCUGCUACCUCUGCGGCUCUGCGAUGGCGAAGGGCAACCAUCGUUGCAGCAAAUGCAAGCGUACGUGGUGA
rnacentral:rRNA from 1 species